UGUAAAGUGCUUUCAGUCGGGAAGAAGUCAGUGACGGUACCGACAGAAGAAGCGACGGCUAAAUACGUGCCAGCAGCCGCGGUAAUACGUAUGUCGCAAGCGUUAUCCGGAUUUAUUGGGCGUAAAGCGCGUCUAGGCGGCAAGGAAAGUCUGAUGUGAAAAUGCGGAGCUCAACUCCGUAUGGCGUUGGAAACUGCCUUACUAGAGUACUGGAGAGGUAGGCGGAACUACAAGUGUAGAGGUGAAAUUCGUAGAUAUUUGUAGGAAUGCCGAUGGGGAAGCCAGCCUACUGGACAGAUACUGACGCUAAAGCGCGAAAGCGUGGGUAGCAAACAGGAUUAGAUACCCUGGUAGUCCACGCUGUAAACGAUGAUUACUAGGUGUUGGGGGUCAAACCUCAGCGCCCAAGCUAACGCGAUAAGUAAUCCGCCUGGGGAGUACGUACGCAAGUAUGAAACUCAAAGGAAUUGACGGGGACCCGCACAAGCGGUGGAGCAUGUGGUUUAAUUCGACGCAAC
rnacentral:rRNA from 1 species